UGUUAAACGAGAUCUUAGGUGAUUCCUAUGCAACUUAAUUUUUAGAAGUGCUGGAGUGGCGGUUCUCAAACUUUAACGCAUGCCAAAAUCAUCUGGAGGGCUUGUUAACAUGUAGAUUGCUGAGCCCAAGUGUCUGAUUUGGUAGGUUUGGGGGGAGAAUUUGCAUUUCUAACAAGUUAUCAGGCGCUGCUGCUGCUGGUCUAGGGAUCACAUCUUGAGAACAACUGCUCUAAAGCAGGGGUCCCCAACUGCCGGUCCGUGGCUUGUUAGGAACCAGGCCGCAUAGCAGGAGGUGAGCAGCGGGCAAGCGAGCGAAGCUUCACCUGCUGCUCCCCAUCGCUCCCCAUCACUCACAUCACCGCCUGAAACAUCCCCCCCAAACCCCGGUCUGUGGAAAAAUUGUCUUCCACAAAACCGGUCCCUGGUGCCGAAAAGGUUGGGGACCACUGCUCUAAAGCACAAAGCAGGCCACACCAAGGAAGGAUGCCUAGAAGAACUUCAGAAUCUUGGGCCCCACUCCAAACCUACUGAAUUAGACUUUAUGCUGUUAUCAACCUGAGAACAUGGGGUAACUUUCCAUGUAUUUUCUAUUUAUUCAAGGUGACCUUUUAUCCCUUAACGAUAUUUUAAAGUUUUCCUUACAUAAGUUUUGCAAGCACUGUGCAUUUGUAGGUAACUUCUUUGCUGCUAGUCUAAUGGUUUCUUUUUCCUGUGAUAUUUUCUAAGUGAUGGUUAUUUGAGUACAUGAAAAAGCUAUUACUUUAUGCAUAUUAGUUUUAUACCACUAUACCUUACUGAUUUUUAAAUUAUCUUAUUUUUCGUAGAGCUUUUCAGAAUUAGAAAAUAAAUAUUUUGCAACCCCUAAUGACAUAAUGGAUCUGGACAACAAAUAGUGAAUUCUGAACUACCAGGUGAAGGCGGGAUGGGUGAGGAACAUGCAACUUGAAGCCACUCCUCUGUCUUAGCAUCCCUAAAAAUGGGACAACCACACAUUAUGUGACUCCUUAUGUUAUGCAGUGCAAGAUUUAUAGGAAAUGUAGGCAAGAGAAAACAAGUUAAUUAACACCAUGAGGAAGCAACCAAGUAAAUAUAGAAUAUAGGACAUGCUAUCGGAUGUGUGACCCAGCUUUCCGUAGACGAAUGGCAUUAAAAAAAGGAGAAUAAAAGACUUAAGAGAUGUAAUGACCAGAAACAACAUGUGGGCCUCAUUUGUAUCCUGUUUCAAACAACCACUGACACAGGGUAUCUUUGAGAUAUUUAGGGAAAUAUGAAUGGGUAUUAAAUGGGUAUUAGAUAAUUUCAAGAAAUUGUUCAUUUUGAUGUGUAUGAUAAUAGCACAUUGGUUUAUGCUUUACCAGUUUGAGAUGCACAUUGAAAUAUUUAUACGUGAAUUACCAGAAUGUCUAGAGUUUUCUUUAAAAUAUUUCAGCACAAAAAAAGGGGGAGCUGAUAGUUGAAACAAGAAGGGCAAAAUACUGAUACUUAUUGAAACUGGAUAGUAGGUACUUGGGACUUAUUACAUAUUCUUUUUAUAUUUGUGUAGGUUUGAAAUUUUUCAUAAUAGCUAUAUGAUGAAAUAAACUAUGUGCUCACCUCA